rnacentral:lncRNA from 1 species
GUUCUAGUCAUCCUUUUCGUCACUGUGACCAAAAGAACUGACAAGAACAAUUAGAGGAGGAAAAGUUUAUUUGGUCAAGGUUUCACAAGUUAGCCCAUGGUUGGUGGAAUCCAUAACUCCAGGCCCUGGAGGAAGCAAAACAUUAUGGUAGAAGUAUGUGGUGGAAAAAAGCAGUUCAGAACAUGGCCACCAGGAAUCAGAGAAGGGGAGAGAGCACCCUCCAGCACCCCCAAGGCAUGCUAUCAUUGACCUACUUCAUCUGGUCAACCCCUACCUGCCUACAGUUACUACACAGUUAAUCCUUAUCAUUGGAUUAAGGAACUGAUUAGGUUAAGGUUCUCAUAACCCAAUCAUUUUACCUCUAAACUUUCUUGCAUUCACACAUGAGGUUCUUGGGGACACAUCAUAUCUAAAGUGUAUCACCUGAUGUUGGCCCUAUUCAAAUAUGCUUUGUCCUGGGAUGUGAAGACUCCAUGGCACCCAGCCUGAGAACAAUGAGAAUGGUCUCUAGAGUGGAACUAAAGGAGACCAGGCUAAUGGAAAGUGUGUGGAUAAACUGUGCUUUAUUUUGCAAUGGAUGGUUUGGUGUAUUCUUUUUGAUGGAUUUCCUGGUCACUCCAUAUUCAAAUGGAAAGAGAGUCCAGUCUCCAUGUGUUUCAUAACCAAGAAAAACUGGAAGAGAUACAGUUCUGACUUUGGCCCUCAUAUUGGCUAGUUCCACUGUGGAGCAGUGAAGGGACAUGCUCUUUAGGAACCACACAGGCAUGGUAUCCUGGUAUCCCUGCUGCCUGCUGUGUCACUGCUACCACCGCCCAUCUAUAGCCUCUGCUGGACCCUGCAUUGCGGCGACCUAUAUAGCUUCCCUCUUGGGAUCAGCAAAGGGAGAAGGCCAGCUAAGGAUGAGAGGUGAGGCCACACCACCUGCAAUAUAGGGAACAAGCCCUAGUGCCUCUGGAAAGAUGGGGAAGAAAGGGAUGGGUGUCUGUUUGCUACUGCCACAACAUGCUCCCAAUUGUUCAGUUGUCAUUUUACAUUGGUCCACAUCCUGGACUGAUAGUUGCCAACCACUCUGUGUGCAGCCAGGUAGCCAAGUCAGCUGCUGUCAUCCCUGUAGAGACCUGGCAUGCUUGGGAUGUGGUAGUUGCUGCCACUCCUGCAUCCAUGCUGGGACACUUGCCCACAACCUUAAGACUGUUGGAUCUGAUAUAUCU